CUCUUCCGGCAGCAGCAGAGACGGUGUGGCUGACUCUGCGUGAUGGCGCCAGGAAUGCGGAGGGGGGUGCUGGUGGUGGUGGUGGGUAUAUUCAGCAGAAGACAGGGGGGCAGGUCAGGCCUCCCCCUCCCCAGCUCCAGUGCCUGCUGCUGGCUGCCUGGUUGGCUCCUUCUCUGCUGUUACAGACAGAAGAACCUUCCCCCCCUUCCGAGGGGUUUCCUCUCAACAUUGUGUAUCCCUCCAACGUUUUUGCUGCAGACCAUCCUGAGGAUGCAGGUGGCAACUGGGAGACCUGAAGGCAUCGCAUGCGGAGCUUCCAUUUGAAUCCCAAAGGGAGGUCCCAUCAUCAGCUCGCUUUCAAAAUGCUUCCUCUUGAAGGUGAAGAUGACUGAGGGUUGAUGUCUGCCGGCAUCCUGAGAAGAUGGGUGCUCUACCAGGAUGAGUGUCCAGAGUUUCCCGUCCCUCCAGUUCUGGUCUGAGUGGCGGCCAGUGGUCUGCUUCUCCUCCUCCUCCUCCUCCCGCCAUAACUUCAUCCUUCAUCAUCACAUCCUGCUUCUGACAUUCUUAUGGCCCCAACCAAAAACCUGCAAGGUUAGCAUAGCAACAGCAGUAAACAAUCCAUUCCUUAAUGGAAGUUUGGUCGUGUUUGGUCGCACAGCCAGUUGGAGAAAAUCUUCAUUGGAAAAACAGGAGGCGUUGCCCCUUUUUGGCUCUCAGUUUAGAUCCCACUUUGGUCCAGUGCCGGCUUCAUCAUGGCAGGUAGGAAAAUGUUCAGCGCUUGUUGAAUCUUCACCAUCACCUCCUGCUUCUGACAUUCUUCUGGCCCCUGUGGAUCCCAGAGCAUGUUUGCGUGGGAGGACUUUGGGGGGACCGGGGUGGCGUUUUCUCACUAUCAGCUGCCCUGACACUUUGGGCUGUGAUUCCCAACAAAUGGAGCCGGCUGCGGGCGAGAGGUGACCAUCUCCUGACGAUGGGAAGAAGGAAUCCUGCCCUCCCCUUACGUGACCCACCAAGAGUCUUUCAUACUGAUGUAUACUCUGAUGUUGGACUGUCCCUGCGUGCAGACUGUCAUCAGCUGGUUCCGUCGCUCUCAUGGAGGAACACCUGCCGUUUCACGGGAUUGGAACGGGAAAUGUAUCCAAGGGACUUGGACAUUGACCUGGUCUCUUCCAAGAGUUCCAUUGCUCCCAGGGAGGAACACUCACCAUUUUGGUGGAUUGGGACUGGAAAUGAAUCCAAGGAACUUGAAAAGUGACCUGGUCUCUUCUUUUCCAAGAAGUCAUAUUUUGGGGGAUCUGCUCCAAAUCAGCUCCACUGCUGCACCUCUACUGACUGGCCAGCGGCAAGGGUGAUUUCCAGUGCUGCGCAUGCAAAGGAUGUCCAAGUGGAUGGGCAAGACGGCAAGAAGUUGUUGUAUUUUUUGACACGUAAGGAGGUGCUCCAGCAGUACAGAUGGUGGCAUCUUGAAUGGUGCCCUUCCACUGCUGCUUCCUUUCCCCCCAAGAGGUCAGCACUAGAUGAUCGGCCAGUCUACAUAUGGCCUGCAGCCAGAGCAAUGGCUUUUCGGAAGGAGCAGAUGGCUACUCUUCUUAAGGGGUUGGCUUUUGGGGGUAGCGUGGUAUGAAGCCACAGAGAUGGAGGCUAGUGGUGGCAUCAGGCCUCUUGCUGGGUAUUGUUCAGAAUCAUCUGGGAUGUGUGCGGCCUCACCUGUCAGAACAAGGAAGAGGGCAGAAGUGUGCGCUUCCUACUGCUCCCAGCUACCAGCUGGUCAUCCAAGGCCAGGCUCGCCUCCUGAGCACCCUUCUGUGAGUGGCUUCCUUCUGCUUCCCAUCUUCCAGGGUUGUUGCUUUAACUUGCUGUUCCUCCUCUGACCGCUCCAAGGACUGGAUCCCUUCCCCAUCAUCACCACACGGGCGACUUCUAGCCCUUGUGAACAUCUCACACCACUCAAAGUGUCCCAUAUUUCUCCAUCCUGCUCAGACCUAAGUUUGCUGGAAAUGUGGUGGGUGUGAGAGGGCUGAACUUCUGCAGAUGUACUGGGACUGCCCUUGUAUUGUAAUGCAUUGUAUUGGUAUUGUAUUGGUAUUGAAUUGGUAUUGUAAAAUCAACAAAUUUCACUCAAAUGCAGGAAAGAAGAUCAUGAGAUGGUGAUUUUGUGUUGAAUUGGAGUCCUUUUAUUUUAUUAAUUUCUAGAAUCACAAUAUGGAACCUUUUCUUUCAUUGGUUGUAAUUCAGUAAAGUUGGAAUUGAACUGUACCCACCCACCCCUUCUUCCCUUGGCUAAUGGAAUAUCUUUCUGCUCUUGACUAGUGAUUGAUACUUCUGUUUGUUUUUAUGUCUGAGAAAAUAAAAAGUUGGUUAAAACGUUUAA